UACGGGGGGGGCAAGCGUUGUUCGGAAUUACUGGGCGUAAAGGGCUCGUAGGUGGCCAACUAAGUCGGACGUGAAAUCCCUCGGCUUAACCGGGGAACUGCGUCCGAUACUGGUUGGCUUGAGUUUGGGAGAGGGAUGCGGAAUUCCAGGUGUAGCGGUGAAAUGCGUAGAUAUCAGGAGGAACACCGGUGGCGAAGGCGGUUCUCUGGGCAUUACCUGACGCUGAGGAGCGAAAGCAUGGGGAGCAAACAGG
rnacentral:rRNA from 1 species